CAGCAGCCACGGUAAGACAGAGGAUGCAAGCGUUGUCCGGAAUUAUUGGGCGUAAAGGGCUCGCAGGCGGUUUCUUAAGUCUGAUGUGAAAGCCCCCGGCUCAACCGGGGAGGGUCAUUGGAAACUGGGAAACUUGAGUGCAGAAGAGGAGAGUGGAAUUCCACGUGUAGCGGUGAAAUGCGUAGAGAUGUGGAGGAACACCAGUGGCGAAGGCGACUCUCUGGUCUGUAACUGACGCUGAGGAGCGAAAGCGUGGGGAGCGAACAGGAUUAGAUACCCCGGUAGUCCCUGUCUCUUAUAC
rnacentral:rRNA from 1 species